AUUGGACGCUGGCGGCAUGCCUUACACAUGUAAGUCGAACGGCAGCACGGGUGCUUGCACCUGGUGGCGAGUGGCGAACGGGUGAGUAAUACAUCGGAACGUACCUUAUCGUGGGGGAUAACGCAGCGAAAGCUAUGCUAAUACCGCAUACGCCCUGAGGGGGAAAGCGGGGGAUCGAAAGACCUCGCGCGAUUAGAGCGGCCGAUGCCUGACUAGCUUGUUGGGGGGGUAAAAGCCCACCAAGGCGACGAUCAGUAGCUGGUCUGAGAGGACGGUCAGCCAGACUGGGACUGAGACACGGCCCAGACUCCGACGGGAGGCAGCAGUGUGGAAUUUUGGACAAUGGGGGCAACCCUGAUCCAGCAAUGCCGCGUGAGUGAAGAAGGCCUUCGGGUUGUAAAGCUCUUUUGUCAGGGAAGAAACACCGGCUCUAACACAGUCCGGGAAUGACGGUACCUGAAGAAUAAGCACCGGCUAACUACGUGCCAGCCGCCGCCGUAA
rnacentral:rRNA from 1 species